rnacentral:rRNA from 1 species
CCUACGGGAGGCAGCAGUGGGGAAUAUUGCGCAAUGGGGGAAACCCUGACGCAGCAACGCCGCGUGAGUGAGGAAGGACUUCGGUCUGUAAAGCUCUGUUAAUGUGGAAAAAUGGUAGUUGGUCUAAUAGGCCGAUUAUUUGAUGGUACACAUAGAGGAAGCACCGGCUAACUUCGUGCCAGCAGCCGCGGUAAUACGAAGGGUGCAAGCGUUGUUCGGAUUUAUUGGGCGUAAAGCGCGCGUAGGCGGACCUGUAAGUCAGAUGUGAAAUCUCGGGGCUCAACCUCGAAACUGCGUCUGAAACUGCAGGUCUAGAAUCUCGGAGGGGGAAGGGGAAUUUCGCAUGUAGGGGUAAAAUCCGUAGAUAUGCGAAGGAACACCAGAGGCGAAGGCGCCUUCCUGGACGAGUAUUGACGCUGAGGCGCGAAAGCGUGGGGAUCAAACAGGAUUAGAUACCCUGGUAGUCCCACGCUAGUAACUAUAGAACACUAGGUUAGUUAGGUAGGUAGUUUACGUACCCGUUACCUACGUACGUCCGGUACGUACGUAACCGUACGUUAACGGUUACGUUCCGUCCGUCGGGUAAGGUACGGUCGGCGAACGAACGUAAAACGUUAAAACGUUAAGUAAGUUAGUACGGCGUGAGACGUCGCCGACGGACGACCGACGAGGGAGGAGG